rnacentral:tRNA from 1 species
GCCCUUGUAGCUCAGGUGGAUAGAGCAGCAGUUUCCUAAACUGCGGGCCGGAUGUUCGAGUCAUCCCAAGGGCACAA